rnacentral:rRNA from 1 species
AUUGAACGCUGGCGGCAGGCCUAACACAUGCAAGUCGAACGGUAACAGGAAGAAGCUUGCUUCUUUGCUGACGAGUGGCGGACGGGUGAGUAAUGUCUGGGAAACUGCCUGAUGGAGGGGGAUAACUACUGGAGACGGUAGCUAAUACCGCAUAACGUCGCAAGACCAAAGAGGGGGACCUUCGGGCCUCUUGCCAUCGGAUGUGCCCAGAGGGGAUUGGCUAGUUGGUGGGGUAACGGCCGCCCAAGGCGACGAUCCCUCGCUGGUCGGCCAGAAUUACCCGCCGCACUGGAACUGAGACACGGUCCAGACUCCUACGGGAGGCAGCAGUGGGGAAUAUUGCACAAUGGGCGCAAGCCUGAUGCAGCCAUGCAGCGUGUAUGAAGAAGGCCUUCGGGUUGUAAAGUACUUUCAGCGGGGAGGAAGGGAGUAAAGUUAAUACCUUUGCUCAUUGACGUUACCCGCAGAAGAAGCACCGGCUAACUCCGUGCCAGCAGCCGCCGUAA